CAUAUUUGACAAUACCAACAUAAAAACCACAUCAAUGCGUUGACCAGACUUUUAUCUCUCUUGUGAUAAUAAUAUUUUUGCCGUCUGGACCCACGCUUUUGGGAACAGAACAGAACAGACUUAAGAGUUAUAAUUAUCAUUAAAUGGACAUGUUUGACCCAUUGAAGAUGCUGCUCUAGCGCACAUUAGAUGGUCAUGCUUCUAGCUCAAAAACUCUAACUCCUGUCACUUAAUGUUUAAAGGUCCAAUAUG